GCUUUGGUGGUUCAGUGGUAGAAUCCUCAUCUUCCAUGCUGGAGACCUGAGUUGGAUUCCCAGCCAAUGCG
rnacentral:tRNA from 1 species